rfam:Ictidomys tridecemlineatus contig047767, whole genome shotgun sequence.
GGGAUUGUGGCUCAGUGGUAGAGCGUGCGCCUUGCACAUGUGAGGUACUGGGUUCGAUCCUCAGCACCCA